rnacentral:rRNA from 1 species
GUAAAGGGUGGUUAUGGGACAGACAAAAUAAAGCUAAAGACCCCCAGAGCCGUCAUACGCCCACGGGGGCGCGAAACCCAAAUACGAAAGUAGCUUUACCAAACAAAUGCCCGACCCCACGAAAGCUGAGAAACAAACUGGGAUUAGAUACCCCACUAUGCCCAGCCCUAAACCUAGAUGAAAACUUACAAAACCAUCCGCCCGGGGACUACAAGCACAGCUUAAAACCCAAAGGACUUGGCGGUGCCUCAGACCCACCUAGAGGAGCCUGUUCUAGAACCGAUAACCCCCGUUAAACCUCACCACCUCUUGUUUUCCCCGCCUAUAUACCGCCGUCGUCAGCUUACCCUGUGAAGGUCCAACAGUAAGCAAAAUGGGCCCAACCC